GACGAACGCUGGCGGCGUGCUUAACACAUGCAAGUCGAACGGUGAAGCGCCUUCCUUUUUGAUGGGUGUGGAUGAGUGGCGAACGGGUGAGUAACACGUGAGUAACCUGCCCCCUUCUUCUGGAUAACCGCAUGAAAGUGUGGCUAAUACGGGAUAUUCUGGGUCUGUCGCAUGAUGGGUCUGGGAAAGAUAUUGUUUCGGUGGGGGAUGGGCUCGCGGCCUAUCAGCUUGUUGGUGGGGUGAUGGCCUACCAAGGCGGUGACGGGUAGCCGGCCUGAGAGGGUGGACGGUCACACUGGGACUGAGACACGGCCCAGACUCCUACGGGAGGCAGCAGUGGGGAAUAUUGCACAAUGGGCGCAAGCCUGAUGCAGCGACGCCGCGUGAGGGAUGGAGGCCUUCGGGUUGUGAACCUCUUUCGCCAGUGAAGCAGGCCUGCCUCGUUUGUGGGUGGGUUGACGGUAGCUGGAUAAGAAGCGCCGGCUAACUACGUG
rnacentral:rRNA from 1 species